CUAAUUUAGACAUUUACAGACAGAUAUAAAUGCAACUAUUACUGCUCUAAUAAACUUCUGUUAGACAGUACAAAUAAAUAUUUCAAAGCUAAAAAUUGCCAGUUAGGUGUUACAUGUCCAUUUUGCUAUUCAGUUCAGAGUCAUGAUAUUUUUUAAAAACAGAUUUGAGCUAUUUGUCAAUUGUUUGUAAGCUUUAAUGUCUUUAAAGUAUCAAGUGAUUGCCUCAGAUAUUAUAGGGCCUCUCAAAUAACGCGAUAUGUUACUUUGUAACUAAUUGGAUUGAAACUUUAAUACAUACAUGUUCAGAAAUGUUAGAGUGAUGUGUAUAAAUCGUCCACCCAAGUUAUUCAUUUUUAAAAGGAUCUCAGUAGAUGGCUGAGACCAAUUGCAUUGUGAGGUAUGAAAAAGCAAGAAAUUCUCUGAACUACAAUUGUGUUUCAGUGCAUCCUCAUUAUAGUGUCCUUUGGUUGAAGAUCUCAAAGUAUUUCAAGGAGCACUGCUUUUUGGAUAUGAUAUAACAAGUUUUUUGCUGAAUCAUGAAUAAGCUUCCUUUUUCAACAGAGUUUGAGCCAUAUUGAUCUUUCCAGACCUUUUCAACCUGGCCUGUUUCAUGAUUCUAAGAUUUUUCUCCUUUUUUUGUACUAAAAGUUUUCUGGAGAUAAGGUAAUUCAGCUUUUUCUAUUAAGCUACUUUUGUUUCAUAUAUUGUGCAUCUAAAUAAACAACAGAUUUUCAGAAUAUUGCUUUUCUCAAGAGGAUAUUUAAAUCUAAAUUUUAUGUAAACUUAAAAUAGAAGUAGGUAAGAGUAUUGUUUGCAUAUUAAAUAAUUUCAUAUAAAGUAUACUGAGGUCUGUGUGUUUGUGGUUUUUUUAGGAAGGAUGUGUUUGUUGUUUUUCUGGUCAAGAUACUGUUUCCUAACCAGAUGCUUUUUCAGAAUCUUCUUGGCCAAGCUUGGAAUUGAAAGCAACAAAAGAAAAGGAGUGGGAGAGAAAUUAAAUCUGUUAUACCUCCCUCAAAAAAAUGGGAAAACUUCAGCAAACAGAUGGGUUUUGCAGCAAGCCUUCAAGGUCACCAAAUACUGGCUGCAGUGAAAUUAGAAGUAAGAUCCAUCAUGAAGGAUAUCUUUUUUCAAGUGGGAAACAGCUUUCAUACAAGUGAUCCUGAGUGUCAUGGUAACACAAGAAGAAAACUAGUUCUGAGAAAGACAACUGUUCUUGUAAAGUGGGAGUCGAUUCUAUAGCUGUCACUCAUACCUGCACAGAUUGUGCCCUGUGAACUACAGGGUUUCAGUGAUCUCUGAAAGAAAGAUAUCAAAGAAAAACUAAAUGGAAAGAAAUUAAGCAAGAUGUUCUUUGACUAACAAAAGCCAUAGUCUUUGAGAUAUGGCAGCAGGUUUUUGAGUAAAAUCUAUCUGGAAAAUCCAUACAGUGACAGGGUUCAUAUAUCCAGCUGUUUCAUCUGCCAACAAGUUUGGGGCUGUUCCAGUUUGGUUUUUAGGGACAAGUCCAGAGACAAGGCAGUCUGGGAUCAAUUCUUUGGAUGGUUGCUACUGCUAAAAUAAAUGUAAAAUUUCUUCACUGUGGUAUUUUGCAUAGUUAUUCAAAUAGCUUUAGAAAAGUCAUUUUUAAAAACUGUAACUUCUAUCUCUGUGUAGAUUGUAUGUAUUUCCUUCUUGGAGAAAUGGUGGGUACUACUGUUGCAAUAAACAGAUAUUUCAGAGAUGUGGAAUGAAAUUUGUGUUCUGCAGCUGCAGAGCUUGGUCAAACCUGAGCAGAGACCAUAUCAACAUACUGGUAAAUUACUCAAUGUAAUAUAUACAUUUAUAUGUUUCUUUUCAAAUCACUUAUUAUUUUUGCCUCCUACCCAUCUAGAAAAGAAAUCAAAUCAAAUUUCAGGAGUCGCAAGCAUUGAAGAAAAGAAAUAUACAUAUGGAUGCAUCUACAUCUACAAUCUUCAUCUGUAUCUAUAUUCUUCAUCUGCAUCUACAUAAAAUAAUCCCAGCAUCAUUUCAUUGUUGCAAUGCUAAGAAGCAUUUGGAGCACAGAGAAAUUGAAAAAUUUUGGUAAAAGAUAUCCAUGAAUAGUAACUGGUAAAAUACAUUAAUCUAAGGGACUGAAUGAAAAAAAGAUUUUUUUAAUUUUUUUUUUUUCUUUUUUCUUUUUUAUUUUUUCUUUUUCUUAUUCUUUUUUCUUUCCAUCAGGCCUGAGAACAUCUGUUGUUUUGGUAAACAUUUCCUUGAAUCAUAAUUUGAAAAAUUUUCCCAAGCAAAGAAGUAUGCUUUAGACAAAGAAAAGGAAGAAUAUCUAAAGGAGAUUUACAACAUUAGUCUCAGAAUAAUUUAAAAUAAAUCAACAAUAUUUUAUAAAAUUCUAUACGCUAAAUAUAUGUUUUAGACAUUACAAUGCUAACUAAGGAAGAAGCAAAAUUGCAAUUGUGGUGAAUACAUGUAAGGAAACUAAACAACUAUGGAAACCCCAUAUUACUCUGAAAAUGGACAGUUAAUCUCUUUCUGUGUCAAUUUUCUACCUGUGUGAAAAAUAGACAUAAAAUGGACAGCAGCAGUCUAUGUUAUCUUAGAAAAUUAAAUAACUAGUCGAUAUUGCAGAAAGAAAAACUAAGUUGCAGACAAAAUUUUAGCAAAAACUUUGGCAUCAUAUAAGAUCCAUUUUAGCAUAACAGGUAUAAAUUUCCUCCAACUUUAACCUCAGGAUUAUUCUAUUGAUUUAAAUGGAAUACACAUGCUGCAAAAUAAGCAUAUACCAAAAAAUGCUAAUGAACAAAGGAUAAGCCCACCUUAAACUUUAUAAUUGGUUUUGGCCACCUCAUAAAGAGUUGUCCAAAGUAUUUCUAUACAUCUGCUGGAAUCUAUCUACUGUUCCUAGAGAAGAGAAAGAGGACUAUAUUUGAGUUGUCAUUGUUGUUUUGCUUUGUGUGCUGGUGUUACAUUCAAAAGCAGAGAAACAUUCAAUUAGAUCUCUUCCCAGUGUGAGCUGUGCUUUCCUGUUCAAGAAGCUCCAAAAUACUGGGAGAAGACCCUCAGCUGGUGAAAAAAAUCAUCCUCCAGUUACUUCAGCAGAGAAAUGACAGUUUACACCACGUGAGGAUCUGUUCUAUGGCAUAUUUUCUUUCUGUGUUAUCGUCUGUAGAUUUCACAUUGGCUUCAGUGCAGAGAUUGCAGCUGUAUUCUUCUCAACACGGCAGCAUUGGCUGGGGAGGCAAACGUGCACACUGAGGCUUCUGGGGUAUGUUGUUGAUGUUUUCCUACAGAACAGAACAAGCCAUUUUGUAGGACAGCACAAAUCUACCCCAUGUACAUUUGCAGUAGACUUCUUAAGAACUAUGUAUUUAUACACAAAAAUAAUAGGGACCUGAUCUUUGUUAACUUUUUAAUACACAAAAUAAAGAUGUAAAAAUUAAGGGCAACAUACAUAAAAGAAGAACGUUACUUAUUAUGAAUUAGAAUUUAAUAAUUUGUACACUUAUGGUUAAGCUCUAGAAAAAGUUCAUGGCAGUAUGAAGGCCAGCUCUUUCUUUUUAAAGGUUUUUCUUACUAACUACAAAAAAGUUAUAACUUUCUAUAUUAUUGUUUAUAAGACUGGGUUGGAAACAUUUCCUAUUCUUUCAGCAGAUCACAUCUAUAAAUAAGAAUGAUGUUUACUUCUUAACAGACAGAAAAAUAACAACAAAAAUUCAAGGAAAACUCAGGUUUCCAGAUUUUAUGCAAGAUCAUCUGUUUAUUGUUCAUGAUUCUUUAGACUCUUUAAAGGAAUUUGGAAUUAGACUCAGGAAAUUUGUUUGUUCAAAUAUGUCUAAAAAUUCAGCGCAUAAAAGUUCGCACUUUGGGACAGAUAUUUGAGAAUAGUUAAUAUUAUUUGUGAAGAUACAGGGACCAAACAAAUGUGGUUUGGUUUAUGAUUUGGUUUCAGAUUUAUAUAUUUGAAAAAGAACACUGAAAAAACAGCCACUGUGGCAUGUAUGUUCUGGUCUGGAUAAUAAUAACAGUCUGCAGGAAAGGAUCAAUUCUCCCAAUAUAAUGAAGCUAUUAAAUGUUAUUGAAUAUUUUUCUCUAUAACUAAUAUUAAAUUAACUAUAAAAAAAUGUAAUGGAGUUCAUUAUCAGGGUCUAGGUUAAUCCUAUCCAACUUUAUAUGUUAAGGUACAGUAUGUAAAUUUAAGAGUAUUUUUAUGCUAGGUUUUUUUAGUAGUAAAUGGAGAAAGUUUAAUAAUUAAGAAAGUAAUUCAGGUUUUAUACUGGCAAAGCAUAUGAAAGUUCCUGUCUCCCCACAGACUGCAAAAAACUAAAAUGGAUGGUGAUCCUUUUCUAGGUUUAGGUUUGAAUUUAGGUUUGUUUGUUUGUUAUUAAAUAUGGGUCCUAUAAUUAGACACUUUAAACUUAGGAAAUAUAGAUGUUAACAAACUAGAGGUAAGACAGGGAGAAUAUUGUCAGAUGAUCACAAUUUAAGUUAUUUUUUCUUUGAUUGUGAAGGUUUUGUUUCAUUCUUAUUGGGUAUUUUUAGAAUAAAAUAUUUUCUAUGGAAAGCAUUUAAUUAUUUAUCAGUGGAACAAAUGUACUGGAAAACUUAUAAAUGUUCAUCUCUCACCCCUACUUUUUUUUUUUUUUUUUUUUAAAUAGAUAACUCCACAGUGUUUUAGACCUUUCUUGCAGUGUUUACUUUUGUUAUUCUGAUUUUGUUUUUUAAAAGUACAAUAAUGUAAAUCAGUCUUAUAUUGAAACUAAUUUGAGGUAAAUUUAUGAUAUUAAAGACAUUAAUAAAGCUUUUUUCUUUUCCAAAAUAGCAGUAUUGAAAUUCAGUCAUACUGAAGGUAUGUAUAUAAGAUACCACUGUAGGUGGUAUCUUAUCUCUAUAUGUUAAUUACUUUAAUAAAGACUACUAUAGCCUUCUUACAGUUGUACAAACUAAAUACAAGUGGUAUGCUAUAAUGUAAGUACAAGAAAAAAAAUUGUCUUGAAAGCAAUAAAAGCAAAGCUAAAAGUGUAGCAUCAGGUGCAAAGAUUUUUCUUUUUCAAAUAAUUUUCAAGAUGUUCUAUUACAACUGCUUGCUUUUGUUUAUGUUUAUGGUAAAUUAUUAUCAUUUGGUGUUCCUUUGUAUGAAAAAUAAUGUUUUCAGACAAGUACUGGAUAUCACAAAAGCUAAAUAUAUACUGUUCAUUAUUAAAAGUACAGCUUGUCAGAAAAUAUGGAAAAUCUGUAAAGCAGAAUUUUCUUCUACUUUGUGAAGGAAUUCUUCUCACUGAAAGAGGACAAAUAGCACUGUUCCCAAACCAUAUUUAAAUAUUUUACCUUUCUAAGUGUUGGGUACUUAAGUAUGACUUCUGACUUCUCAGUACUUGCACAUAAGAUGGUAAAGUCUCUUCAUAUUCUGUAACAGCAUAAUACAGAACCAAAAAGUAGAGAAAACACUACAGAUCUGAGGAAAAGGAAUUAGAAUCCCAAGUUUCCAUAAACUUAGACAUUUUCAAGUAGACUCUCCAAGCAUUUUAAAUAACUACUUAGUCAAAGCACAGUACAGAGAUCACAUAGGUUUAUGAGCACCAUUUUCUCUUUCAUAUAAAUAACAACACUCAGCAGUCUUGUGAGUUACUUGAACUCACACAACAGUUUAGGCAGAACUAAGACCAGCCAAUUUAAAAAGUCUGACUUUCAAAUUGCACGCCUACAUUAAAUGAAUGCAAAUAUACUUAUGGAACAGCAUUAUCUCUGUUUUCUUUUGAUAUCGCUUCAUUGGCUGGACUUAGUAAUUGUUUGGUUAUUUUCUUACAGAUUUGUUCUCAUGUAUCUCAGUAUUUUCUAGAGAGUGUGAAUUUAACCAUACAAACAAAACAGACACCCAUUGGCAGUUAUGAGCAUCUCUGUUAUGAGGGAUAAUACAAGAUAAAUACUGGAAAGAAAAGCGCAGCUAUGGAAAUGCUGUCAUAAUUCAUAAGAAAAAAAACCCUCCAAAAUGAUACUACUCACAGGUGAAUGAGAUAAUCUUUAUAAUGGCAGGUUGAAAGAACAGAUAUAUGGAACUGUCAGUCAACAAACAACUACCCUCCAUAAAUUUUAUCAGCUAAAGAUUGUACCAGAAUACAAGUAAAUGGGAAUUACAUCAGCUCAUUUUAACCUCUAAAAUAUGGAUGUCUCUAGCACAGAUGUCAUUGAAUAAAGUACCCUUUGGGCAUUUCACAUACAAAUUCCUGUGAGAUCAGGCAUGAUCAGUGAAAUAAAUGUCUGUCUUAGAAAAGAAAACCAGUGAAGUUGACUUGUAAAAUUUUAUAAGGUCUAGGGGCUUCUUAUGAGCAACAACAAUUGGAACUGGGAGAAAGAAAAUCCAAUAAACUGUCAACUUAUGUUUGUUAAUUGAUGUUAUCCCUAAUUCCUUUUUUCUUUUGAUUAUCAAAUAUGUGUUCAUUAAUCAAUAUUAAUUUUAUUUUGGUCUAGAUGAAAACAUUUUUUCCACAGAAUACAUUAUAAUCACAUUACUUAGAAUCUAGUAUGAAUAUGAAAAGGAAAAAAAUACUUGUGUGAAUUUAUAUGCUAGUAUUAUACACAAAUAAUAUUUAGCAAGUUGACAUAGAUGAAAAAUCUUUUCAGCCUAUACUGGUGAUGCCAUUUAUCUUUUAAAUUUAAUGUUAAUUUAUUCUCAAUGGCUAAGGAAAUAAAGGUCAAAUUACAUUCCCUCUCCUAUAAAGUGUAACACAGAUGACAUGACAAGUGCAUGCUUAAUGCCAAGCAGCCAAGUCUUGACUCACUUGGAGCGUAGUUACAGACACAGGCAUCUCUGUUGAGAUUAAUGGGAUGGGUUAUGUGCAUGGUAAAGGUAUCCUGAUAAAGGGAUUUCCAAUCUCAUCUACAGAUUGUUCAUUUCUGAAGUGAGCACCCUGCCUUCAUAUUUGUCUUCAGAGUAUAAGGAUUUUUGUAUUAAAAUUUGUGCAUGGACACAUUUGCUAUGCAUAUGCAAAUAUAUAUGUAUAUGUAUAUGUAUAUAUGUGUACACAGACACAUACAUAUAUACUGUUUACAUAGGGAUGCAUUGUACUACAAAUCUUAUAAUUAAACCAAAUUUUUCAUUUUACAGAGGCACAUCGUUCUGCACAAACCUUUUUUCUCCAUCUUGAAUAAGACAUCACUCAAAAUGUUCAUGACACUCAGCAGCUAUUACCAUGGGGGAUAAAGAAGCUUCUUAGAAGAAAACACAGGAACUGAUAAACAGACACCAUUAAAAAGUUUUUUCAUGCUAGUAUUCAACCAAAAUUAGAGUUAUCUUUUGCUUUGAUGUUACCAUUUGUAGUAUAACCCUUAUUUAGUUGUUUUGAUGCAUGCAAUAAUUGAUACUUCAAUAAUAAA